rnacentral:rRNA from 1 species
CGGUGGAGUAUGUGGUUUAAUUCGAUGCAACGCGAAGAACCUUGCCUGGUCUUGACAUCCCGGAGACCCUUAGGAAACUAGGGGGUGCUUCCAUCUGGAAGAAUCUGGAGACAGGUGCUGCAUGGCUGUCGUCAGCUCGUGUCGUGAGAUGUUGGGUUAAGUCCCGCAACGAGCGCAACCCUUGCCUUUAGUUGCCAGCAGUUCGGCUGGGCACUCUAAAGGGACUGCCGGUGUUAAACCGGAGGAAGGUGGGGAUGACGUCAAGUCCUCAUGGCCUUUAUGACCAGGGCUACACACGUACUACAAUGGCCGAUACAAAGGGCAGCGACACUGCGAGGUGAAGCCAAUCCCGUAAAAUCGGUCUCAGUCCGGAUUGGAGUCUGCAACUCGACUCCAUGAAGUUGGAAUCGCUAGUAAUCGUGGAUCAGCAUGCCACGGUGAAUACGUUCCCGGGCCUU